rnacentral:rRNA from 1 species
ACGGAAGGCAGCAGUGGGGAAUAUUAGGCAAUGGGGGCAACCCUGACCUAGCAACGCCGCGUGAAGGAAGAAGGCCUUCGGGUUGUAAACUUCUUUUAUAGGGGACGAAAGGAAUGACGGUACCCUAUGAAUAAGCCACGGCUAACUACGUGCCAGCAGCCGCGGUAAUACGUAGGUGGCACGCGUUGUCCGGAUUUACUGGGUGUAAAGGGCGCGUAGGCGGGAUUGCAUGUCAGAUGUGAAAUCCAUGGGCUCAACCCAUGAACUGCAUUUGAAACUGUGAUGCUUGAGUAUCGGAGAGGCAAGCGGAAUUCCUAGUGUAGCGGUGAAAUGCGUAGAUAUUAGGAGGAACACCAGUGGCGAAGGCGGCUUGCUGGACGAAAACUGACGCUGAAGCGCGAAAGCGUGGGGAGCAAACAG